UAUAAAAACAAAUUUUGUAAAUAUAUAAAUAUGUGACUCUUACUGGAAUCAAAUAGGUAAGAAGGCAACUAAUCUUUUGAAAGGCCUGGAUGACCAAAUCAGCGUGGCCUAAACGAACUUUCAUCACUAGAGAUUCAAAAUGCAGUUAACCCUUGAACAACAUGGGUUUGAAUCCAUGUGUGGGUCCACUUAUACAUGGAUUUUUUUUCAAUAGUAAAUAGUACCUCACUACACAGUCCAUGGUUGGUUGAAUUGGGGGUACAAAAUUUUGGAUAUGGAGGAACCGUGGGUAAAGAGGACUGACUAUAAGUUAUAUGCAGAUUUUUGACUGUGUGAGCAUUGGUGCCAAGGCCCUGCAUUGUUCGAUGGUCAACUGAAAUUCUUCAGCUUUUAACAAACUCAGGCAAAGAAGAGCUGAGAAACCUAUUUAUUCCCAAAGGAAGGCAUAGUCCUUAACACGUGGCCAAAGAAGAUAAUGGGAGAAGAGUAUUCCUGAGAGCUAAGUCAGAGACUGAAAAACGAUCUUCAGACCAUGAGGAGCCUGAGGAAGACUACAGAAUGCCAGUCAGAGACCCUGCCUUUGAUCAGAAGAAGUUACUGAAAAGGGGAUCCUAAAGUCACCCCUGGGGAAGGAGUACUUGUCUGCCACACAAGGAGAAGAGAGAAAAUGGGUUCCCAGUGAUAAGUCCAAAGGUUGACUACAGACACCCAAGGGCUGUCCAUCAAAGUCCAAUUCUCCUGUCCUUCCAGCCACGCAGGAGAACCACAUGCCUCCUGAAGAUCAAUGUGGCCUUUGGGCAAAGAAAUUGAUUUUUUCAUUGUGUAUGGAUACACUGUUAACAGAAGUUCUGACAUGAGGACAUUGGUCAUCACAUGGAGUGCAGCUGACCUGGAGAAUCACCUUGAUACAAAAUGAACUAGGUGUGAAUGGCCAACAUCUGAAUCA